rnacentral:rRNA from 1 species
UAUCGGAACGUACCUUUCAGUGGGGGAUAACGUAGCGAAAGUUACGCUAAUACCGCAUAUUCUGUGAGCAGGAAAGCAGGGGAUCGCAAGACCUUGCGCUGAUUGAGCGGCCGAUAUCAGAUUAGCUAGUUGGUGAGGUAAAGGCUCACCAAGGCGACGAUCUGUAGCGGGUCUGAGAGGAUGAUCCGCCACACUGGAACUGAGACACGGUCCAGACUCCUACGGGAGGCAGCAGUGGGGAAUUUUGGACAAUGGGCGCAAGCCUGAUCCAGCCAUGCCGCGUGAGUGAAGAAGGCCUUCGGGUUGUAAAGCUCUUUCAGCCGGGAAGAAAACGCAUGGGUUAAUACCCUGUGUGGAUGACGGUACCGGAAUAAGAAGCACUGGCUAACUACGUGCCAGCAGCCGCGGUAAUACGUAGGGUGCGAGCGUUAAUCGGAAUUACUGGGCGUAAAGCGUGCGCAGGCGGUUUGUUAAGAUAGGCGUGAAAUCCCCGGGCUCAACCAGGGAACUGCGUUUAUGACUGGCAAGCUAGAGUAUGGCAGAGGGGGGUGGAAUUCCACGUGUAGCAGUGAAAUGCGUAGAGAUGUGGAGGAACACCGAUGGCGAAGGCAGCCCCCUGGGCCAAUACUGACGCUCAUGCACGAAAGCGUGGGUAGCAAACAGGAUUAGAUACCCUGGUAGUCCACGCCCUAAACGAUGUCAACUAGGUGUUGGGAGGGUAAAACCUUUUAGUACCGGAGCUAACGCGUGAAGUUGACCGCCUGGGGAGUACGGCCGCAAGGUAAAAACUCAAAGGAAUUGACGGGGACCCGCACAAGCGGUGGAUGAUGUGGAUUAAUUCGAUGCAACGCGAAAAACCUUACCUACCCUUGACAUGUCCGGAAGCCCUUAGAGAUUUGGGUGUGCUCGAAAGAGAGCCGGAACACAGGUGCUGCAUGGCUGUCGUCAGCUCGUGUCGUGAGAUGUUGGGUUAAGUCCCGCAACGAGCGCAACCCUUGUCGUUAAUUGCCAUCAUUUAGUUGGGCACUUUAACGAGACUGCCGGUGACAAACCGGAGGAAGGUGGGGAUGACGUCAAGUCCUCAUGGCCCUUAUGGGUAGGGCUUCACACGUCAUACAAUGGUCGGUACAAAGGGUCGCCAACCCGCGAGGGGGAGCCAAUCCCAGAAAGCCGAUCGUAGUCCGGAUCGUAGGCUGCAACUCGCCUGCGUGAAGUCGGAAUCGCUAGUAAUCGUGGAUCAGCAUGUCACGGUGAAUACGUUCCCGGGUC